UACAGAGGGGGCAAGCGUUGUUCGGAAUUACUGGGCGUAAAGGGCGCGUAGGCGGCCUUCUAAGUCAUGCGUGAAAUCCCCGGGCUCAACCCGGGAACUGCGUCUGAUACUGGAAGGCUUGAAUCCGGGAGAGGGAUGUGGAAUUCCAGGUGUAGCGGUGAAAUGCGUAGAUAUCUGGAGGAACACCGGUGGCGAAGGCGGCAUCCUGGAGCUUUGCUGACGCUGAGGCGCGAAAGCGUGGGGAGCGAUCCGG
rnacentral:rRNA from 1 species